AUAAUUGGAAUUGACCAAUAUUAUUAAUCGUGUGCUCUUAAAAAUAAUAAUUUAAUAGAAUAAAUAAGAAUAUCGAGGUUACAUGUCGCGUGUAUAAUAUCGCGUUUAAAUUUCAAUCGAAAUUCGCGGGUAUCGAAAAUGAUAGUAUAGUGUGGUUAGUGUCACGAGUUCGCGAGUCGCGAGUACAUACAAUAGAGACGGUGGGCGGGUCAUGGUGAUCUAAUCUUUUUUGCUUCGACAGUUUCUGAACGGAGUGACAUGAUUACCAUAGACAUGUAAAAAGUUAAUAACGAUCGUGGUGAAAAGGAGCAUCGAACCCUAAUACGAUCGUCGAACAAGCUGAUGCUGCAAGAAACAUCUCGUGGAUAGGUGUACGUACGGUUCCCGACGAACGCGACAGGUUUUCUGUAAUCAGCAUGUUCCGGCGACCGACUCUCUUCCCUAACCUUCCUUUCGCACACACCACCAGAUUCGCAAGUAACGCUAACACGUGGAGAGAUGAAUUAUAAGGUUUCGUGAUCGACACUGAUGCAUAUGCAAACGUGAAUGCAUAUCGAAGGAAGUAGAUGCGAAACGCGAGACGCGAUGAGAGCUGGUGGAAACCUAGCUUUAUAGCAGGCCACUCUAUCCUGUAAAACGAAACUUUAUUGAUACAGCAAUCAAGCGAAGAAUUGGUAGUAUGACGAAGAACAACGAAGAUGCAGAAAAAUAUUGACAUUUCUCCAUUGAUACCUGUUCUACGGAUAUUAUAUAAUUCGUGUAAUUUGGCUUCUUGUAGGUAUAAGGUAUUUACAGAUAUAAUUAGAAGGGUAAAAUUAAUCCUGUUGUUCUC